rnacentral:rRNA from 1 species
CUUGGUCAGGAUGAACGCUAGCUACAGGCUUAACACAUGCAAGUCGAGGGGCAGCAUUGGGAUAGCUGCUAUCCAGAUGGCGACCGGCGCACGGGUGAGUAACGCGUAUCCAACCUUCCCUAUAGUAGAGAAUAGCCCGGCGAAAGUCGGAUUAAUGCUCUAUGUUGUGUCUUGAGGACAUCUGACGAACACCAAAGGUUCACCGCUAUAGGAUGGGGAUGCGUCUGAUUAGCUUGUUGGCGGGUAACGGCCCACCAAGGCGACGAUCAGUAGGGGUUCUGAGAGGAAGGUCCCCCACAUUGGUACUGAGACACGGACCAAACUCCUACGGGAGGCAGCAGUGAGGAAUAUUGGUCAAUGGGCGAGAGCCUGAACCAGCCAAGUAGCGUGCAAGGAUGACUGCCCUAUGGGUUGUAAACUGCUUUUAUCAGGGAAUAAAGUGCGGCACGUGUGCCGUUUUGUAUGUACCUGAUGAAUAAGGACCGGCUAAUUCCGUGCCAGCCGCCGC